GGGUGCGAUCAUACCAGCGUUAAUGCACCGGAUCCCAUCAGAACUCCGCAGUUAUGCACGCUUGGGCUAGAGUAGUACUGGGAUGGGUGACUCCUUGGGAAGUCCUAGUGUUGCACCCU
rnacentral:rRNA from 1 species